rnacentral:rRNA from 1 species
GGUUUGAGGACCGAAGCGGAGAAGCGUAAUUCCACGUGUAGCGCUGAAAUGCGUAGAUAUGUGGAGGGAACACCAGUGGCGAAGGCGGCUCUUGGUAUGUAACAGACGCUGAGGCGCGACAGCAUGGGUAGCGAACACGAUUAGAUACCCCUGGUAGUCCAUGCUGUAAACGUUGAGUCCUAGGUGUUAGGGGGUCCAACCCUUAGUGCUGCAGUUAACGCAAUAAGCACUCCGCCUGGGGAGUACGGCCGCAAGGCUGAAACUCAAAGGAAUUGACGGGGGCCUGCACAAGCGGUGGAGCAUGUGGUUUAAUUCGACGCAACGCGAAGAACCUUACCAGGUCUUGACAUCUUCGGACAGCCCAAGAGAUUGGGUCUUCCCUUCGGGGACCGAAUGACAGGUGGUGCAUGGUUGUCGUCAGCUCGUGUCGUGAGAUGUUGGGUUAAGUCCCGUAACGAGCGCAACCCCUGAUCUUAGUUGCCAGCAUUGAGUUGGGCACUCUAGGAUGACUGCCGGUGACAAACCGGAGGAAGGCGGGGAUGACGUCAAAUCAUCAUGCCCCUUAUGACCUGGGCUACACACGUGCUACAAUGGAUGGUACAAAGGGAAGCCAAACCGGGAGGUCGAGCUAAUCCCAUAAAGCCAUUCUCAGUUCGGAUUGUAGGCUGCAACUCGCCUGCAUGAAGCCGGAAUCGCUAGUAAUCGCGGAUCAGAAUGCCGCGGUGAAUACGUUCCCAGGCCUUGUACACACCGCCCGUCACACCACGAGAGUUGGCAACACCCGAAGUCGGGUAGGGUUACCUCACGAGCCAGCCGCUGUAUAGUGAUCCCAUUUCG